CCUACGGGUGGCAGCAGUGGGGAAUAUUGCACAAUGGGGGAAACCCUGAUGCAGCGACGCCGCGUGAGUGAAGAAGUAAUUCGUUAUGUAAAGCUCUAUCUGCAGGGAAGAAAAUGCCGGUACCUGAGUAAGAAGCCCCGGCUAACUACGUGCCAGCAGCCGCGGUAAUACGUAGGGGGCAAGCGUGAUCCGGAAUUACGGGGUGUAAAGGGGGCGUAGACGGCAGUGCAAGUCUGGAGUGAAAGGCGGGGGCUCAACCCCCGGACUGCCCUGGAAACUGUACGGCUGGAGUGAAGGAGAGGUAAGUGGAAUUCCUGGUGGAGCAGUGAAAUGCGUAGAUAUUAGGAGGAACACCAGUGGCGAAGGCGGCUUACUGGACUGUAACUGACGUUGAGGCACGAAAGCGUGGGGAGCAAACAGGAUUAGAUACCCGAGUAGUC
rnacentral:rRNA from 1 species